CCUUAGAGUUUGAUCCUGGCUCAGGAUGAACGCUAGCGGCAGGCUUAACACAUGCAAGUCGAGGGGCAGCGGGGAGGAAGCUUGCUUUCUCCGCCGGCGACCGGCGCACGGGUGAGUAACACGUAUGCAACCUGCCCCUGUCAGGGGGACAACCCGCCGAAAGGCGGGCUAAACCCGCGUACAUGCCACCGGGGCAUCCCGGAGGCAGGAAAGGCUUCGGCCGGACAGGGAUGGGCAUGCGGCGCAUUAGGCAGUAGGCGGGGUAACGGCCCACCUAACCGACGAUGCGUAGGGGUUCUGAGAGGAAGGUCCCCUACACUGGAACUGAGACACGGUCCAGACUCCUACGGGAGGCAGCAGUGAGGAAUAUUGGUCAAUGGACGCAAGUCUGAACCAGCCAAGUAGCGUGCAGGAUGACGGCCCUCCGGGUUGUAAACUGCUUUUAGUUGGGAAUAAAAGGGGGCUCGUGAGCCCCGUAUUGUAUGUACCAUCAGAAAAAGGACCGGCUAAUUCCGUGCCAGCAGCCGCGGUAAUACGGAAGGUCCGGGCGUUAUCCGGAUUUAUUGGGUUUAAAGGGAGCGUAGGCCGGCUUUUAAGUCAGCUGUGAAAGUCCGCGGCUCAACCGUGGAAUUGCAGUUGAAACUGGAGGCCUUGAGUGCACACAGGGAUGCCGGAAUUCAUGGUGUAGCGGUGAAAUGCUUAGAUAUCAUGAAGAACUCCGAUCGCGAAGGCAAGUGUCCGGGGUGCAACUGACGCUGAGGCUCGAAAGUGCGGGUAUCAAACAGGAUUAGAUACCCUGGUAGUCCGCACCGUAAACGAUGAAUACUCGUGUCCCGCGAUAUAUUGUGGGACACUUAGCGAAAGCGUUAAGUAUUCCACCUGGGGAGUACGCCGACAACGGUGAAACUCAAAGGAAUUGACGGGGGCCCGCACAAGCGGAGGAACAUGUGGUUUAAUUCGAUGAUACGCGAGGAACCUUACCCGGGCUCAAACGACACAGGAAUACUUUUGAAAGGAGGUAGCCCUACGGGGUCUGUGUCGAGGUGCUGCAUGGUUGUCGUCAGCUCGUGCCGUGAGGUGUCGGCUUAAGUGCCAUAACGAGCGCAACCCCUAUCGCCAGUUACCAUCAAGUAAAGUUGGGGACUCUGGCGAGACUGCCGGCGCAAGCUGAGAGGAAGGCGGGGAUGACGUCAAAUCAGCACGGCCCUUACGUCCAGGGCUACACACGUGUUACAAUGGGGGGUACAGAAAGCAGCUACACGGCGACGUGAGGCUAAUCCCUAAAUCCUCUCUCAGUUCGGAUUGGAGUCUGCAACCCGACUCCAUGAAGCUGGAUUCGCUAGUAAUCGCGCAUCAGCCACGGCGCGGUGAGUACGUUCCCGGGCCUUGCACACACCGCCCGUCAAG
rnacentral:rRNA from 1 species